GAGACAGAGUCUCGCUCCCUUGCCCAGGCUGGAAUGUAGUUUCACAUCACAGCUCGCUGCAACCUUGACCUUAUGGGCUCAAGUGAUCCUCCUACCUCAGCAUCCUGAGUAGCUGGGACUACAGGCACAUGCCACCAUGCCUGGCUAAUUAAAAAAAAAAAAAUUAUAGAGAUGGGACUUCACCAUGUCUAUAGGACGAGUUCCAAGCCCACCAACUCCUUGUCUUUAUUAAUCCUUCCUAUUCUAGCCCUCAGGAUUCUGUUUUCUGAGAAUAAGAGGGUACUUUCUCUGUCAUCCAUGUGUCCCAUUUUGUAGUUGACUCAAACAUUCUUAGUUGCCCUAUAUAUUCUGCCUCAGCUGCCUUGUGUACUGGCUUUUCAGGACAGAGCGUGUUUUCUCAGCUGUUAAUGUUUCUUUUGUACCUGUCACAUAACAGUGCUGCCCUGGGGAACUGUAUGGAAUGUAGAUUGUAAGUUAAAAAGAGAAAGUAAAGCAAGUGCUAAUUUCAUUUUUCAUUCGUAGUUUUUUAAAAUUAUUUAUACAGAAUCUUGUUUCUAAAAGUGAACUUAUUUGCCUUCAACCAUGUUGGUGUGCUGCACCCA
rnacentral:lncRNA from 1 species